AAGGAGCUUGCUCCUUUGACGUUAGCGGCGGACGGGUGAGCAGAGGUGGAUAACCUACCUAUAAGACUGGGAUAACUUCGGGAAACCGGAGCUAAUACCGGAUAACAUAUUGAACCGCAUGGUUCAAUAGUGAAAGGCGGCUUUGCUGUCACUUAUAGAUGGAUCCGCGCCGUAUUAGCUAGUUGGUAAGGUAACGGCUUACCAAGGCAACGAUACGUAGCCGACCUGAGAGGGUGAUCGGCCACACUGGAACUGAGACACGGUCCAGACUCCUACGGGAGGCAGCAGUAGGGAAUCUUCCGCAAUGGGCGAAAGCCUGACGGAGCAACGCCGCGUGAGUGAUGAAGGUCUUCGGAUCGUAAAACUCUGUUAUCAGGGAAGAACAAAUGUGUAAGUAACUGUGCACAUCUUGACGGUACCUGAUCAGAAAGCCACGGCUAACUACGUGCCAGCAGCCGCGGUAAUACGUAGGUGGCAAGCGUUAUCCGGAAUUAUUGGGCGUAAAGCGCGCGUAGGCGGUUUUUUAAGUCUGAUGUGAAAGCCCACGGCUCAACCGUGGAGGGUCAUUGGAAACUGGAAACUUGAGUGCAGAAGAGGAAAGUGGAAUUCCAUGUGUAGCGGUGAAAUGCGCAGAGAUAUGGAGGAACACCAGUGGCGAAGGCGACUUUCUGGUCUGUAACUGACGCUGAUGUGCGAAAGCGUGGGGAUCAAACAGGAUUAGAUACCCUGGUAGUCCACGCCGUAAACGAUGAGUGCUAAGUGUUAGGGGGUUUCCGCCCCUUAGUGCUGCAGCUAACGCAUUAAGCACUCCGCCUGGGGAGUACGACCGCAAGGUUGAAACUCAAAGGAAUUGACGGGGACCCGCACAAGCGGUGGAGCAUGUGGUUUAAUUCGAUGCAACGCGAAGAACCUUACCAAAUCUUGACAUCCUUUGACCGCUCUAGAGAUAGAGUUUUCCCCUUCGGGGGACAAAGUGACAGGUGGUGCAUGGUUGUCGUCAGCUCGUGUCGUGAGAUGUUGGGUUAAGUCCCGCAACGAGCGCAACCCUUAAGCUUAGUUGCCAUCAUUAAGUUGGGCACUCUAAGUUGACUGCCGGUGACAAACCGGAGGAAGGUGGGGAUGACGUCAAAUCAUCAUGCCCCUUAUGAUUUGGGCUACACACGUGCUACAAUGGACAAUACAAAGGGCAGCUAAACCGCGAGGUCAAGCAAAUCCCAUAAAGUUGUUCUCAGUUCGGAUGUAGUCUGCAACUCGACUACAUGAAGCUGGAAUCGCUAGUAAUCGUAGAUCAGCAUGCUACGGUGAAUACGUUCCCGGGUCUUGUACACACCGCCCGUCACACCACGAGAGUUUGUAACACCCGAAGCCGGUGGAGUA
rnacentral:rRNA from 1 species